UACGUAGGGGGCUAGCGUUGUCCGGAAUCAUUGGGCGUAAAGAGCGCGUAGGCGGCCAGAUAAGUCUGGUGUGAAAGUCACAGGCUCAACCUGUGAAUGCCGCUGGAAACUGUCUGGCUAGAGUCCGGAAGGGGCGAGUGGAAUUCCUGGUGUAGCGGUGAAAUGCGCAGAUAUCAGGAGGAACACCAAUAGCGAAGGCAGCUCGCUGGGACGGUACUGACGCUGAGGCGCGAAAGCGUGGGGAGCGAACAGG
rnacentral:rRNA from 1 species